AAUAAAUUUGAGAGGUAAAUGCAUUAAAUAGGAUGGUUAUAUUCAAUUAAAAAUUGAUACUUUGCUUUAAUUACAUUUACAAACACAUAUAUGUCUUAAAUAUGAGCAAAAUGAGAUUACACGUAAUAACAGUUAUAAGUAAUACAUUUAUUUCAUAGUAAUGAGUUGUCGAAUAAAUGUUUAUAAACUAUCCGUAAAAUUACAAUCAAAACAAACAUUAAAUAUUACUAACCAAAACGAUGAAUUAAUGGACAAAAAAUUGUAUAAGAAAACCGAGAAAAGAAUUGUACUGUCGAUAUAACAAUACAGGUAUAGUUUUGCAUAAGUAUUGAGAUAAGAUGACUGACCAAGGCCAAUUACUGGAAUUGUAAAUAGAUUAAAGAAUUGACGUGUAUAAGUGAUAGGAGAAUUAUGUUAAGAUUUUUGAAAAUAUUGAUGAUGAAACAGCAAAUAUUAUUUGGAACAUAGCGAUGCCGCUUCAAUUAUAAUAUAAAAUAUUUUACCUUCUGUGCCGUAGUAUCCGCCAUUAUACACUCCAUGAAAAAAAAAAGUUUAUAAAAUAUAACCACACUAUCCCUUUGUUGUAACGUACAACUUCAAACAGGAAGUUGCGGUGAGUAUUCUUACUACGCCAUCAAAUCAGAAUCUGUAACAUUAAUGCAGUUAUAUUAGUCUUCUCAGAAUUUAAAUUUCUGUUUAUUCGUCUAGAGUUAUUUUUUCUUCGUCAAAAUCGAGACACCAUAGAGCUGAUUGAGAGAAUUAUAAUUAUAGCAUGUGCAAAGGUGCACGAUGAUACACAAUAUGUCAAUCUUUAUUCUUUUACUUUUUACAUGUUUUAUUUCGUAUUCUGUAGAAGUUGUUUUUACUAUAAUCUAUACAAUUUGAAUUCGCUUCUUUGAUAGAAAUGAAAAUUUAAGAAAACAUGAUGUGAUAAAUUAUAAUUGAUGUGAAUAGAAUACUAAUAAUACAAAAUGAUAUUUUGAUUCCAAUUAACUGUCAGAAAUUAAGUCAAUACUCAUAUAAAUAAUCUAUGAAAAUGUCAAAUAAGUAGGUGCCAGAAGUAGGAGAGAGAUAAAAGGAUAAUACUUCAUUAAAUUGAAUGUCAUGGAUAUAUUUAAAAAAAACUGUAAUUUUUUAAAAAUAAACAGCAUACAGUUUUGCGAAUAUUGAACAUAUUUUUUAAUCAGAUUAGAACAAUAUUUUGAAUCAGAUAAGUAAAACGGUAAAAUGUAUCGUUUCAUUGUAUUACCAUUGUAUUUCGUAUUUUGUACAUCAAUAUCCAUCUUUUGAAAUCAGCAAAUUAAAUCUGCUAUACAUGAUUGUAUAACACAUGUUUGUAUAAACACUGUGUAGAAAUAUAUAUUAAAUACGGCUAA